GUCUGUUGUCAUGCCACUCUGAGCAUGCCAGAUCUUGUCUGAUAUCUAAAGCUAAGCAGGGUCAAGCUUGGUUAGCACUUGGAUGAAAGUAGCCCUAAACUGGAAACAAGGUAAAUAUGCAUUAACAGAUU
rnacentral:rRNA from 1 species